GUGGGGAAUCUUAGACAAUGGGGGCAACCCUGAUCUAGCCAUGCCGCGUGAGUGAUGAAGGCCUUAGGGUCGUAAAGCUCUUUCGCUGGGGAAGAUAAUGACGGUACCCAGUAAAGAAACCCCGGCUAACUCCGUGCCAGCAGCCGCGGUAAUACGGAGGGGGUUAGCGUUGUUCGGAAUUACUGGGCGUAAAGCGCGCGUAGGCGGAUUGGAAAGUUGGGGGUGAAAUCCCGGGGCUCAACGCUGGAAUGGCCUUCAAAACUCCCAGUCUUGAGGUCGAGAGAGGUGAGUGGAAUUCCGAGUGUAGAGGUGAAAUUCGUAGAUAUUCGGAGGAACACCAGUGGCGAAGGCGGCUCACUGGCUCGAUACUGACGCUGAGGUGCGAAAGCGUGGGGAGCAAACAGGAUUAGAUACCCUAGUAGUCC
rnacentral:rRNA from 1 species